rnacentral:rRNA from 1 species
UACAGAGGGUGCAAGCGUUGUUCGGAAUCACUGGGCGUAAAGCGCGUGUAGGCGGUUUUCUAAGUCGGGUGUGAAAUCCCCCGGCUUAACCGGGGAAGUGCGCCUGAAACUGGGAGGCUUGAGUAUCGGAGAGGAAAGGGGAAUUCCCGGUGUAGAGGUGAAAUUCGUAGAUAUCGGGAGGAACACCGGCGGCGAAGGCGCCUUCCUGGACUGUUCUUGACGCUGAGGCGCGAAAGCUAGGGUAGCAAACGGG